rnacentral:rRNA from 1 species
CCCAAGAGAUCGGGAUAACACCUGGAAACAGAUGCUAAUACCGGAUAACAACAGAUGAUGCCUAUCAACUGUUUAAAAGAUGGUUCUGCUAUCACUCUUGGAUGGACCUGCGGUGCAUUAGCUAGUUGGUAGGGUAACGGCCUACCAGGGCGAUGAUGNAUAGCCGAGUUGAGAGACUGAUCGGCCACAUUGGGACUGAGACACGGCCCAAACUCCUACGGGAGGCAGCAGGU